AUGAAAGCUGACUUCAACCUGCUCCAUGGUUUGGAAGGCAGAAGGGAGAACAAGGAUACAGGGCUCAGGCUAGGUGAAGAUAAAGAGCAUUUGUUGAGGAGGAAGGAAGAUUCCACCUCCACAGCUCCAACUGUGAGGCCUCACCAAUAAACAGGUAGGUGCUGCCCUCCCCUAAGGACAUCCCCU
rnacentral:lncRNA from 1 species